rnacentral:rRNA from 1 species
UACGUAGGGGGCAAGCGUUGUCCAGAUUUAUUGGGCGUAAAGAGCGUGUAGGCGGUUUGGUAGGUCCGCUGUGAAAACUCGAGGCUCAACCUCGAGACGCCGAUGGAAACCAUGUGGCUAGAGUCCGGAAGAGGAGAGUGGAAUUCCUGGUGUAGCGGUGAAAUGCGCAGAUAUCAGGAAGAACACCCGUGGCUAAGGCGGCUCUCUAGUACGGUACUGACGCUGAGACGCGAAAGCGUGGGGAGCGAACAGG